UACUAGUCCUGGUUUAGGGGCUUAUUUUUGUUUUACAUGUGGGUUAUGUAGGAUGUAGGCUGCAUCCUGCUUCCAGGAGCUGGUAGGGAAUAGGGCGCCAUUUCCUUGCCACUUCAUCCUUUAUAGAGGAUACUGUUUAAGUUGGACUGUGUACACCCAUGUUGAGUAAUGUGAGGUUUUGUGUCAUGGUGAUGAUAUUUGCACUUUAAUAAUUUUGGCUGAAAUUCAGCAGGGGUAGGUGUAACAGAGAUGAAAAUGUGAAUUUCACCAAAAGUGAUGUGCAGUGAUUGUUUGUUUUUGGAGCCGCCUACUGGUGGUUAGGCGCAACUGCAUGCAACGGGUCCUUCAGGCGCAUUCACGGCCCCUCCCACCAAAGCAGUAAUGAAAGCUGGUGGAGACCGUUGUAUGCAGUUGCAGCGCACACACACUGAUGUAUUAUUGUGUGCUUGUUUUUACAUCAGAUCCUGCCAGUAAAAAGCUCUGAAGGACA